ensembl:lncRNA
ACAUUUAUUUCGGAGAGAUGGCUAGCUGGGUCUGUGUGACGAGAGCUCAGGUCCCAGUAUUUCACCACCAGGAAACCCCUUUCAUUAAUUUACCUCCGUAUAUCUCACAGUUUGAUUUCGGCUACUUACCAAAUUAUAUUUAUUAAUAGUUCAUGAGGCUGUGUAGAGAUAAGUGUGCAGUUUCUAGUAGUUCCUUUAAACACUGAAGACCCAGAGAUAAUCUGGAAGUGCCAGGUUGGGAAUGAAGGGCAUCAAGAGAGUUCAGAGAACAGAGAUCUGCAGAUCCCCUGGUAAAGGCCUGCAGUCUCCUGGGCCAAUGUCGGGGGGACCUGAGCUAAGGCAGGGCUGCAUAAAGAUGGCACAGGUGGGAGGCAGUCUGUGGGUACAGUGAACAGGGCAUGUGAGUAAUUGGGGCCGAGGGGAGGGAGGAAUAGAAAUGCAGAGAUUCAGAGGCCUGGGCAUGAGACUAUCAGUGGUGUAUUAAUCAAGGGAGUGGGCCCAGCAGCCCUAGAGGCUGGGAGGGAGGAGAGUCAGUGGGGAGAGGGAAGCAGACCAUAGGUUCCUAAGUCAUCCACAUGGAGUUCUCCAGCAGGAAGUUGGGAGCUUGGGCGGUAUUGCAAGACUUUUUCUCUUGGGCAGAAAAACUGGGGCCCUAUUGCCCUCUCAUCCUCAGGCUCAAUGCACAGUACUAGGGGGUGGGACUAGCGCCCUCCUGGACAGACCUCCACUUCAUCUCUUACCAUCUACUCCAAUCAGUCCCUGAUCACAGAGUCUACUCCCCCAAAUUCUCCUGCAUCAUCCCUUGGCACCUGGACCAUGCUGUUGACUCUCUGUAUCUGGUAUUUAUAGAGGACUGAACCAAGGGCCAAUCAGCUCGGAAUGGAAAUUCCUGAGCCUGGAGUUCUCUGGAGCAACCGGGCUUUUGGCUUUCUCUCUUCCUGGAGUUCAGCUAAGGUUUUCUCUUGAAAACUUUGAAGUUCUGAGAAGUUUGAGGAGAAAUAGAGUCAUCGUAAAAUUCACAUAGAAUCACAAAGGACCCCAAAGAGCUAACAGAAUAUUGAAAAAGAACAAACUUUUAUACUUCCUGACUUCAAAACUUAGUACUUUAAGCUAUAGUAAUCAAAACAAUAUGGUACCGGCUAAAAGACAGAAAUAGAGGUGAUGCAGAACAGAGAGCCCUGAAAUAAACCAUUACGCAUGCAGCAAAUGGUCAAGGUUGCCAAGAUCAUUCAAUAGCGAGAAGACAGUCUUGGCAAAUGAUGUAGGAAAAACAGGCUAUUCACAUGAUAAAAGAAUAAAGUUGGACCCUUAUCUCUCAGCCUACACAAAAUUUAACUGAAAAUGGAUCAAAGACCUAAGAACUAAAACUAUAAGACUCUUAGAAGAAAACACUGGAGGAAAUCAUAGUGGUAUUAGAUUUGGCAAUGAUUUCUUGAAUAUGACACCAGAAGCACAGGUAACAGAAGAAAAAAUAGACAAGUUGGACAUCAAAAUUAAAAACUUUUGUUCAUCAAAAGGACAUGAUCAACAGAGUAAAAAGACAGCCCACAGAAUGGGAGACAAUAUUUGCAAAUCAUAAAUCUGAUAAGGGAUUAAUAUAUUGAAUACAUAAAGAACUCUUAAAACUUAACAAUAACAACAGCAAAAAUUCAAAAGUAACCAAAGGACUUGAAUUGACAUUUUUCCAGUGAGGAAAUACAGCCAGCCAAUAAGCACUUGAAAAGAUGCUCAACAUCACUAAUCAUUAGGAAAAUGCAAAUCAAAACCACAAGAUAUCGCAUCAUAUCUAUCAGGAUGCCUAACAUCAAAAAAACAAAAAGGUAACAAGUACUGUUGAUGAUAUAGAGAAAUUGGAAUCUUUGUGCACUGCUUGUAUAAGAUGAUGCAGUUGCUAUGGAAAAUAUUAUGACGGUUCCUCAAAAUAUUAAAAAUAGAAUUUAUCAAGGUUCAGCAAUUCCACUUCUGGGUAUAUGCCUCCUCAAAAUUGAAAUCAUGAAGAGAUACUUGUGUACCUGUACUCACAGCAGCAUUAUUCCAAGAGCAAAUGGUGAAAUGUCCACGAUGGAUGAAGGGAAAACAAAAUGUGGUACAUACACACAACGGACUAUUAGCCUUAAAAAGGAAGGAAAUUCUGACACGUAACAUGGAUGAACCUUCAAGACAUUAUGCUAAGUGGAAUAAUCCAGGCACAAAAGAAUAAACAUCAUAUGAUUCCACUCUUAUGAGGUGCCUAGAGUAGUCAAAUUCAUAGACAGAAAUCAGAAUUAUGAUUGCCAGGGGCUGGAGAGAGGAGGAAAUGGGGGCUGCUGGAUAACAGAUGCAGGCUGCGUGGCAGCCCUGGGACUUCCGCUGCUCUGGCUCUUUACCUGUGUAGACUCCUCAGUCUGGAAUCUGCCUCCUCCUCACAACUUCCACAUCUGCCAGUCCUACCCAUCCUAGAUCAAGGGCGCCUCAUUCCUUGAGCUGCCAUUCAAUCUGCAGAGCUAUGUUAUUCUUUUUUGUACUUCCGUAGUCUUUUAUUUCACCUCCCUCCCUGUACUGACCACUUUCUACCUUGGACUAAGAGUUACCUAUGUUAUCAACUUACUAGACUAGAAAGUUUUUGUGGGCAAGAUUGAAGUCUGAGGCUAGCACAGUUGUGUGGCCCAACAUACAUCUGCAAGACUCGAGGUACAGUUCUUGAUUUCAUGCAAAAAUGAAUAGACUACAGUUUCCCUUUAUUAGUGUCUCUGAAUCAAUCCUUCAGUGGCUGUCACCUUUCAUGGGUCUGCGAAGUUCACUGUGGUCUUCCCACAUGCUGAUGAUCAAAUAUUUCUACUUCCUCUUCCUCUGGUUGCUUGAACCCCUUAUGUUUUGGAGGCCACACGAAUAGUUCUGGGCAAUGAACUGUGAAGGAAAGUGAUGUGUUCCUUUUAAGCCAGAGCACUGAACCCAGGAUGAGACCCUUCCGCGUGCUCUUUACCCUAAGGCAUGGCAACUGGCACUGUCUAAGGC